CGGCACUUCGACUAUUUGGCUUUAUCUUCUUGUAGGUGUAUCUUCUGCCCAUGAGGGGUAUGCCAGCAGUCACAUCUGUGCGCAGUACUUCGAGUAUUUGACACAAAGUGCGCCGAGCCUGUGUGACACUGAAGCGCAACUCUUAUUAUUAUUAUUGCUGCGUGAACAUACUUUCUUCUCACCUGCUUUCCUUUGAUGCACAUCUACUAGUGUAGUUGCUCUCCGUGCUCUCGAAACGAGACUCACACCACGCUGUGCGGCUCUUAUUUCUUUUUUUGUGUUUUUGGAGUUCGAUGCUCAAGCGAGAAUCAGGCUCACUUGUCGAUGCUGGAUACCCCCGCGGCGUUCAUUGGCGAGUUUGACGCCCUUGAUGGACCCAAGGUGACGUACGCUUUCGAAUACUUCGAUUUCAACCGGGUAGCCAAGAGUAAUUCUGUCGUACGCCAGCUACUGUGCUUCAUCGAAGGAAGGACCCUUCUGGGUAAACAUGUUGCCAGCGGUUUGCUGCACCAUGAGUGCAAGGACUACCUUAACUCAGUAGCUGCUCAUGUACUCACGUCAAAUGAAAGUCGAGAAGAACGCCUGCUGUACCAAGAAAGUGGGUGCCCGUGUGUCGGCAGCUUUCUUUUCAGUAUACCUGACAUCGUGGCACGCGGGGAGAAGCGCCGGUUUUGCCUCGUGUUUCUGCAUCCCUCGUAUCACGAGUUAGUUGCGCGGUGGGACUACCUGAGCUGCUUUGUCGAGGUGCUGUUGAGGCGCUGGACGCAGCGCGCCACUACUCGAUAUCAGCAGGAGUAUUCUACUGUGGCAAAUCUAGAGCAGCUACGUGAGGAAUCGCGCCGGAAGCCGCUGCGCCCGCUCACGGAGCUCCUUUCCCUCCCUGUCACAGGCUCAGAUAGCUUGUCGACGUCUACGGCCGCACAGGAGGCCGUGAUGGAGGACAUGCAUUGUCAAUUUGAAGUCAUUCUUCCUCAAGCGCUGUCAGAACCUAUUCCUUUGGCGUGCCACGAUAAAGAUGCCGCACAGCGUGAUGCAGAGCGGAUUUUGGAGGAUCGACUGCCGUUUGCCCAGUCCUGUAUUGACCAGGUGAAUACCGACGCCCCACACGUACACGGUGACAUUCUACUCCCACAGUUUGCGAAGCAGCUACUUUUCGUCGACGCUGAAAUUGUAGUGAAGCCUUUACCGCUGUGGCUUCUCCAGUUUUUCGCUGACACCGCUUCCAAGAACGCGCCAGAGGCUGCGGUACACACCCUUCUGCGUGCACUUUUCAGCGGCAACCAGAUUGUUGUCACAGGAGAGGACGCUCGAGACUGUGCCAGUUUUGCGAUGGCGUUGGCGUACACGCUUCCUCCGACUGUGGUGAAGAUGCACCUCGGCUCGGAGACUUACCGUAUGCCAUACGAGAGCCGACUCUUGACUUUUUCGCAGCGUGCACUCUCCAAGUACGUCUUCGUGUCAUCUCCAACUGCAGAUCUGGAGGACAGCUCACCACACAUUAUAAAGCUCUUCGACAUGGAGGCGGACGGAAUCGUACACGUGCGUGUGGACAACCAGCGCAUUAGUUUCAUACAGGAUUGUGACCAGUUGCGUCGUGCAGCUCAGCAACGUGAGCGACAAGCCGUGGACAGCGAGAUAACCGUCGAGCCCACCACUCUGGAAAGCCGAAUACUCACCCUCCUCCAGCCGUACACUGCACGCGCGCGCGAGCAAAGCAGCAUCACUGUAUCCGCGCUCCAGCUCCUCACCACUCACCUGCAUCAGCUGGUGAGCGAGUACGUGGUGCGCGGGCGUGUUUAUGGUCAGCUGUUUUCGAAACAAGAGGUGGAGGCGAACAGCACGCCACUGACCCCAGGAGCUAGCGCACCGCAGGGGCUACUUGCAAAAUCACCGCUGCGCUUGAGUGCCUCCCCGCUGACGGGACAGCGCCUUUCCUCCUUCGGAUCCGGCUGGCGCAGCUCUUUCCGCAGCAGUGCGUCGCUGUGUUCUCAGCCCUCAGCUUCCAGUUGUGGCGCCGCCGGCGGUGAGGUGGCCGCAGCCGAGCGGCAAUCAACGGCGAGUUCGUCUAUCACGAAGAGUACCCACCUCUCCCCUGUGUACGGCAAGCAGUUUCAGCAGCAGCAUUAUGUCUUCUCCAGUUUUGCUCCCGAAGACCAUGCGAUACUCGUGUUUUUGGGGAGUGCCUGAUGGCAGACGAGGAUGUGCCUUUGUGAACGUCCACUGUGGGCUUUUUCUCUUGCUGAUUCUCUUUUUCCAUGCCUUUCCUCUCCUUACCACUUCCAUGCCCCUCUCUAG
rnacentral:misc_RNA from 1 species